ACAGGUGUUGCAUGGCUGUCGUCAGCUCGUGUCGUGAGAUGUUCGGUUAAGUCCGCUAACGAGCGCAACCCUCGCUGUGUGUUAUAUGUGUCACACAGGACUGCUGGUAUUAAGGCCGGAGGAAGGUGGGGACGACGUCAAGUCAGCAUGACCUUUAUAUCCAGGGCUACACACACGCUACAAUGGUCAGUACAAUGGGUUGCCAAGCCGCGAGGCGGAGCCAAUCCUAAAAAGCUGGCCUCAGUUCAGAUUGCAGUCUGAAACUCGACUGCAUGAAGUCGGAGUUGCUAGUAAACGCAGGUCAGCUAUACUGCGUUGAAUACGUUCCCGGGGCUU
rnacentral:rRNA from 1 species